UUGACCUCGGAUCAGGUAGGAAUACCCGCUGAACUUAAGCAUAUCAAUAAGCGGAGGAAAAGAAACCAACAGGGAUUGCCUUAGUAACGGCGAGUGAAGCGGCAAAAGCUCAAAUUUGAAAUCUGGCCCUUUCAGGGUCCGAGUUGUAAUUUGUAGAGGAUAUUUCGGACACCGCCCCAGGUUAAAUUUCUUGGAACAGAAUGUCAUAGAGGGUGAGAACCCCGUCUUGACUUGGGCGUAGGGUCCAUGUGAAAUUCCUUCGACGAGUCGAGUUGUUUGGGAAUGCAGCUCAAAAUGGGUGGUAAAUUUCAUCUAAAGCUAAAUAUUGGCCAGAGACCGAUAGCGCACAAGUAGAGUGAUCGAAAGAUGAAAAGCACUUUGAAAAGAGAGUUAAACAGUAUGUGAAAUUGUUGAAAGGGAAGCGCUUGCAACCAGACUUGAGCGCGACGGUUCCCCCUUGCUUCUGCUUGGGUUAUUCCGUCGUGUCCAGGCCAACAUCGGUUCUAGGGGUCGGUUAAAGACUCUAGGAAUGUACCUUCCCUUCGGGGUCGACUUAUAGCCUAGGGUGUCAUGCGGCCACCCGGGACCGAGGAACGCGCUUCGGCACGGAUGUUGGCGUAAUGGUUGUCAGCGGCCCGUCUUGAAACACGGACCAAGGAGUCUAACAUCUAUGCGAGUGUUAGGGUGUCAAACCCUUGCGCGGAAUGAAAGUAAACGUAGGUAAGAAGCCGUUAGGCUGCAUUAUCGACCGAUCCUGAUGUUUACGGAUGGAUUUGAGUAAGAGCAUAGCUGUUGGGACCCGAAAGAUGGUGAACUAUGCGUGAAUAGGGUGAAGCCAGAGGAAACUCUGGUGGAGGCUCGCAGCGGUUCUGACGUGCAAAUCGAUCGUCAAAUUUGCGUAUAGGGGCGAAAGACUAAUCGAACCAUCUGGUAG
rnacentral:rRNA from 1 species